AGUGAACGCUGGCGGCAUGCUUUACACAUGCAAGUCGAACGGCAGCACGGACUUCGGUCUGGUGGCGAGUGGCGAACGGGUGAGUAAUACAUCGGAACGUGCCCAGUUGUGGGGGAUAACUACUCGAAAGAGUAGCUAAUACCGCAUGAGAACUGAGGUUGAAAGCAGGGGAUCGUAAGACCUUGCGCAACUGGAGCGGCCGAUGGCAGAUUAGGUAGUUGGUGGGAUAAAAGCUUACCAAGCCGACGAUCUGUAGCUGGUCUGGGAGGACGACAAGCCACACUGGGACUGAGACACGACCCGGACUCCUACGGGAGGCAGCAGUGGGGAAUUUUGGACAAUGGGCGAAAGCCUGAUCCAGCAAUGCCGCGUGCAGGAUGAAGGCCUUCGGGUUGUAAACUGCUUUUGUACGGAACGAAAAGCUUCGGGUUAAUACCCUGGAGUCAUGACGGUACCGUAAGAAUAAGCACCGGCUAACUACGUGCCAGCCGCCGCCGUAA
rnacentral:rRNA from 1 species